GUAGGUGAACCUGCGGAAGGAUCAUUAUCAUAACGUAUCCACGUAUAAACCAAUUUCUUAAGUGAAUGUGAACUGUAAUGUAAACUGCCUUUAGUAACUCAAUGAUUGCUAUCCUUUAUGAUUUUAUGGAUUAAGAAAUCUGGAUAGACUUGGAGUCAUCUUCUCCUAGCAUUGGUUAUUGAAGUGUAUUUUAAUCUAUAUUAACCCAUUGAACCGAUUAACUAUUACUUAUGUAGUUGUUAUUCAUUUC
rnacentral:misc_RNA from 1 species